rnacentral:rRNA from 1 species
UACGGGAGGCAGCAGUGGGGAAUAUUGCACAAUGGGCGAAAGCCUGAUGCAGCUAUGCCGCGUGUAUGAAGAAGGCCUUAGGGUUGUAAAGUACUUUCAUCGGGGAGGAAAAAACAAAACUAAUAAUUUUAUUUCUUGACGUUACCCGAAAAAGAAGCACCGGCUAACUCCGUGCCAGCAGCCGCGGUAAUACGGAGGGUGCUAGCGUUAAUCAGAAUUACUGGGCGUAAAGAGCACGUAGGUGGUUUUUUUAAGUCAGAUGUGAAAUCCCUGGGCUUAACCUAGGAACUGCAUUUUGAAACUGAAAUACUAGAGUAUCGUAGAGGGAGGUAGAAUUCUAGGUGUAGCGGUGAAAUGCGUAGAUAUCUGGAGGAAUACCUGUGGCGAAAGCGGCCUCCUAAACGAAUACUGACACUGAGGUGCGAAAGCGUGGGGAGCAAACAGGGAUUAGAACC